rnacentral:tRNA from 1 species
GGGGUGUUAGCUCAGUUGGUAGAGCGACUGGUUCGCAAUCAGUAGGUCAGGAGUUCGAAUCUCCUACACUCCACCA